ensembl:snRNA U6 U6 spliceosomal RNA
GUGUGCAUGCCCUCUAGCAAUAAAAAAGAUACAUACACUAAAAUUAGAACAAUACAGAGAAGAUUGGCAGGGUCCCUGGGCAAGGAUGACACCCAAAUUCGUGAAGCAUUCCAUAUUCAA